rnacentral:rRNA from 1 species
UACGUAGGGUGCAAGCGUUAAUCGGAAUUACUGGGCGUAAAGCGUACGCAGGCGGCUAUGUAAGACAGGUGUGAAAUCCCCGGGCCUAACCUGGGAACUGCAUUUGUGACUGCAUAGCUAGAGUCCGUCAGAGGGGGUGGAAUUCCACGUGUAGCAGUGAAAUGCGUAGAGAUGUGGAGGAACACCGAUGGCGAAGGCAGCCCCCUGGGUCAAGACUGACGCUCAUGCACGAAAGCGUGGGGAGCAAACAGG